GAGCAAUAAAUGACAAAAUAGCAAUAUGGGUGGUGUUUGUUUUGAUUUUUAGUACUUUUAAAGGGUAAUCAAAUAGUGCAGUUGGUUGCUUAAUGCUUGGACUGUAUCCACAAAGCUGGGUGAUGCACUUCUGGUUUCCAGAUGGCCUAGCGGUUAAACUCCCGCUCUUACAAUCAAGAGAUUACUGGUUUGAAUCCAACUCAGGGCUUAUUUGUUUGUCUCUUUUUUUUUUUUAAUCCCAAAACUGUUCAAUUUAGGUAAAUAAUUUUUUUUUAAAUAGACAGGGGCAAUAAAUGACAAAAUAGCAAUAUGGGGGGUGUUUGUUUUGAUUUUUAGUACUUUUAAAGGGUAAUCAAAUUUGUGCAGUUGGUUGCUUAAUCCAGAUCCGCUCAUCAAAGCCUUGGUCCUCCUCUACCACAACCAUUGACUCACUCGCUGCUUUUAGAACAGAUAAAGAAGAAGAUUCUGACCUGAACAUGGAGAUCUGAGACUUAAUCUGAUUAUGCUGUUUUUAUUAUUAAAGUUAAUCAUUUUUCUCUGGAAAAUGUCAAUUUAUUCUGAAGUAUGUUUAAAUCAAAGCACAAAUAUUUGGAUUAUUGUGAACAGGGAGGACCAAAGUUCAUUUUGUGUUUCCCGUUUCUAUUCAAGUUAAAUAUUAUAUAAGGUAAUGAUGAAGUAUUUUCCUAGAGCAUGUGUCACAAUAAAAAGAGAAUCUGACAAUGUGAAUUUUAUUUCAUAAUUAACACUGUUGUCUAUCAGUCAUUGACAAGUUUUUGACAAAUUAAAAUAAACUUGUCUAAUGGUUGAAAAUAUAUUCAAACCCCGUCCGUGUGAUGUCCCCUAGAGUUUUCGCAAUUUCAAGGAUUGUUCUGGUGUAUCCUCUCGUGCUCCCCAUAUCCCAAGAUGCAUUGCAGUCGACCCCGAAGGCUUUUCCGCAGUGGUGGACUUAGAUGUGGGACCCAGAGUCAUAGAAAAUGAGACUUUUAAUGAUAAUCCUGAAGAAAAUGGCUCUGCUGGAAAAGAUUUCCCCCUUAUAGGCCAAAAAACAGUGGGACAACCUAACAAAAUUACAAAGAUUGUGAGUAUCCAGCAUCAGGAGAAGGUCAGUGGGAGUCCACUGCUGCUACUGUUGAUUUGACCUCAUGGAUGAGGCAUCAGGACAGAGACCUUCCACCAGUCCUCCUGACUUCUUCUAUCUGGGAGUAAACUCCACAGAUAAGUACAGCAGUGGGUGAAAGAGAGGAAGGAAGGAGUGAGCCACCAAGUGGAAGAAGAAAAAGAAACAGUAGCUGCAUUUCCAUUACACAU